rnacentral:lncRNA from 1 species
UGGGUGAACCCCAACACACAGGCUAUUCAGCCAGCAGCCCCAAGUCCUUUAUGAAAAGCCAGGGUUGAUUGAAACUCUCCCUUCUCAGGAGAGAAACUGAGGCAAAGCUUCCUCAUCGGCAGAGAUAAACUUGGCAGGAGCCAAUUCAGGUAAGGUAGGACCAUGGCCAACUCAGGGCUCGUGCUUGAUCGAAGGGGAUCUGUCUUGACACAUCACAGCAGCUCUAGGAAAGCACAUAGGCUGACAACUGAGUGAACAACCCACUGACUGUGUGUCGUUCAGGGUUGAGAAAGCAAGGGCAGGUCUCUGUGCCCCAUCUCUAGCUUUUCCUCAACUUAGGCUUUAUAAACCCUUGCAUCAAAAAAUAAAAGCUAAGGCUAAUUGUUUCAAA